rnacentral:rRNA from 1 species
AUACGUAGGUGGCAAGCGUUGUCCGGAUUUACUGGGCGUAAAGGAUGUGUAGGCGGAUAUUUAAGUGAGAUGUGAAAUCCCCGGGCUUAACUUGGGGGCUGCAUUUCAAACUGGAUAUCUAGAGUGCAGGAGAGGAGAAUGGAAUUCCUAGUGUAGCGGUGAAAUGCGUAGAGAUUAGGAAGAACACCAGUGGCGAAGGCGAUUCUCUGGACUGUAACUGACACUGAGGCAUGAAAGCGUGGGGAGC